GUAGGUGGUUUAAUAAGUGAAUAGUGAAACCUGGUGGCUCAACCAUACAGACUAUUAUUCAAACUGUUAAACUCGAGAGUGGUAGAGGUAACNUGGAAUUUCUAGUGUAGGAGUGAAAUCCGUAGAUAUUAGAAGGAACACCAAUGGCGUAGGCAGGUUACNUGGACCAUUUCUGACGCUAAGGCACGAAAGCGUGGGGAGCGAACUGGAUUAGAUACCCAGGUAGUCCACGCCGUAAACGAUGGAUACUAGCUGUUGGAGGUAUCGACCCCUUCAGUAGCGAAGCUAACGCGUUAAGUAUCCCGCCUGUGGAGUACGGCCGCAAGGCUAAAACAUAAAGGAAUUGACGGGGACCCGCACAAGCGGUGGAUCAUGUUCUUUAAUUCGAUGAUAAACGAAGAACCUUACCAGGGUUUGACAUCCCGAGAAGAUUUACGAAAGUAGAUUGUGCCUUUUGGAACUCGGUGACAGAUGAUGCAUGGCCGUCGUCAGCUCGUGUCGUGAGAUGUUUGGUUAAGUCCAUCAACGAGCGCAACCCUUGUGAAUAGUUGAAUUUUUCUAUUCAGACUGCCCCGGCAACGGGGAGGAAGGAGGGGGAUGAUGUCAGGUCAGUAUUUCUCUUACAUCCUGGGCUAGAAACGUGAUACAAUGGCAAGUACAAUGCGCAGCGAAGCCCCGAGGUGAAGCAAAUCGCACCA
rnacentral:rRNA from 1 species